GAGAAGGCCUGCCACGGCUGCCUCAUUGUCCCGUUGCUUCCCUGAAGCUUAUAAUGAUUUCUGGAACUUGCUCUCCCUUCCUUGUAACAAAGAAAAACAAGUGAAAACAGCCAACAUGGUGACCAGGCAUGGGGAGAGAGGCACACAGAAGCAACAGCUGGAGUGCCGCGACUGGCGAUUGGACUGCACCACAGAACAGCCUGAAGAGGAAGAACGUGAAAUUAGACUGAAAAUGGAGGCUGGGACCAGACUGUGAAGAGAUUUCAGUAUGGAAUUUUAUCCUUGUGGCAAUAAAGAGCCAUCAAAAGUGCUGGUGUUAGA